rnacentral:rRNA from 1 species
AUUGAACGCUGGCGGCAGGCCUAACACAUGCAAGUCGAACGAGUGGCGGACGGGUGAGUAAUGUCUGGGAAACUGCCUGCUGGAGGGGGAUAACUACUGGAAACGGUAGCUAAUACCGCAUACCAUCGGAUGUGCCCAGAUGGGAUUAGCUAGUAGGUGGGGUAACGGCUCACCUGGGCGACGAUCCCUAGCUGGUCUGAGCGGUUGACCAGCCACACUGGAACUGAGACAAGGUCCAGACUCCAACGGUGGGCAUAAGUGGGGAAUAUUGCACAAGGGGCGCAAGCCGGAUGCAGCCAUGCCGCGUGUGUGAAGAAGGCCUUCGGGUUGUAAAGCACUUUCAGCGGGGAGGCGUUACCCGCAGAAGAGGCACCGGCUAACUCCGUGCCAGCCGCCGCGGUAAUAC